rnacentral:misc_RNA from 1 species
GAAAUGCGAUAAGUAAUGUGAAUUGCAGAAUUCAGUGAAUCAUCGAAUCUUUGAACGCACAUUGCGCCCGCCAGUAUUCUGGCGGGCAUGCCUGUUCGAGCGUCAUUACAACCCUCAGGCCCCCGGGCCUGGCGUUGGGGAUCGGCGGAAGCCCCCUGCGGGCACAACGCCGUCCCCCAAAUACAGUGGCGGUCCCGCCGCAGCUUCCAUUGCGUAGUAGCUAACACCUCGCAACUGGAGAGCGGCGCGGCCACGCCGUAAAACACCCAACUUCUGAAUGUUGACCUCGCAUCAGGUAGGAAUACCCGCUGAACUUAAGC